UGUUGAAAAGCAAACUCCUGAUCCCCAACCCCAGAAACGCAGACAGUGUGAGGUGGGGCCCAGGAAUCUGCAUUUUAAACAAUUGCUCAGGCGAUUCAUGGAAA
rnacentral:miRNA from 1 species